GGGCCUGACACAGUUUCGAUUGCGGGCGGAGGGCGAUGUAAGCAUACCGAAGGCUCGGCUUCGUUAAAACGGAAAUUAAAUUUAAACGCAGAAUCAAAAGAUUCCAAAGUUGUUGCAUUCCCUGCAUACAGGGCUCCUGCAAUGGCUUGCGCCGCUUAAAGUUUAAGCGGUCCGUCGUCUGCGCAUCUCCGCCGCGCGCAGGCGGCGUUAUUCAGGCGGAUAACGGUUUGUGCGGCGUUGCCGCGCCGUAUAAACUGUAAUUUUGCGGCAUGCGUGCGCAUCUCCCCGUCUACCGGGAGCGGCGCAUUAAGUUUAAAGGUAAACUAAGUAUGUAGAAAGCUCGUGCAAACCCCGUAAGACCAGAGUGCAACUCUCUGCAGGUCCACCA
rnacentral:tmRNA from 1 species